rnacentral:rRNA from 1 species
UUGGAGGGGCCCGCGUUCGAUUAGGUAGUUGGUGAGGUAACGGGCUCACCAAGCCGACGAUCGAUAGCUGGUCUGAGAGGAUGAUCAGCCACACUGGGACUGAGAUACGGCCCAGACUCCUACGGGAGGCAGCAGUGGGGAAUAUUGGACAAUAAGGGCAACCCUGAUCCAGCAAUGCCGCGUGAGUGAUGAAGGCCUUCGGGUUGUAAAGCUCUUUUGGCGGGGACGAUGAUGACGGUACCCGCAGAAUAAGCCCCGGCUAACUUCGUG